GGGAAUUUUGCGCAAUGGGGGAAACCCUGACGCAGCAACGCCGCGUGCGGGACGAAGGCCCUCGGGUCGUAAACCGCUUUCAGCAGGGAAGAUCCAAGACGGUACCUGCAGAAGAAGCUCCGGCUAACUACGUGCCAGCAGCCGCGGUAAUACGUAGGGAGCGAGCGUUAUCCGGAUUCAUUGGGCGUAAAGCGCGCGUAGGCGGCCGCCUAAGCGGAACCUCUAACCCCGGGGCUCAACCUCGGGCCGGGUUCCGGACUGGGCGGCUCGAGUGCGGUAGAGGAGAGCGGAAUUCCCGGUGUAGCGGUGGAAUGCGCAGAUAUCGGGAAGAACACCGAUGGCGAAGGCAGCUCUCUGGGCGAAGACUGACGCUCAGGUGCGAAAGCGUGGGGAGCAAACAG
rnacentral:rRNA from 1 species